CCUGGCUCUUCUCUUCGUGUGGCCGAGCUGGAAUGGAGGGCACGACCAAGAUUCGUGGCCGCUAGCGGGGUGCAGCCAUGCAGGUCACGCCGCUAUUGGCCGUGGAGAACGUGCCCCGCGCGGAAGUCAUGAUGGGCUCGCCGGAGACGCGCUGGCGGUGGCGCUACUGCGCCUCAAGCGUGUACCAGUGCCCUCUAAGGCGUCGAGACCCGAACGCGGCCGAGGUCUUGGCAGAUGGUGCCGAGCUUAUCAAGGUCGUCGUCGACGGCACUAGACCGCAGGUAGGGGCCCUCCUCGCGGAGCUUCGCUCCUACGACCUACUGUUCGAAUUCGCCACGCCCUAGGUUGCCGAGGUUGCGCCGCUCCAGUUCGCUAUCUUCUCCGUCUUCUUCAUUUGUCACCGUGCCAAUCUCUCAGUCUCAGGUUCCCGGCUUCAUCUACAUGUUCACUAGCUUCAACGGUGAGUCGUGCCUGUAUUGUACGACUGCGCCAUCGCUAACCUCGAGGACAGUGAUGCCCUCGUGAUCAAAACAUGCGUCGUCGUGAAGUGCUCCGGCCCUGAGGAAGCCGUAGCAUGUGGCCGCUACAAGCAGUCCUCGUCGGCAAUACCAUGGCCGACAGAGACAUCCAUCAACAGUCGUCGACCCGGAUGGAGGCUCGAAGUUAACGUGGAAGCGCCCGUGGUCUUCCAUGGUCGUUGCCAGCGCCUCCUUCAUUGCCGCGUCGGCCGUCGGGGGCGGCGAGCGCACAGGGGUCGACCGGAGAAGGGCCACUCCGGGGUUGCGGCCACCAUGCCUAGCGGUGGCAUCUCCAAGGAAGGUGGCGCACCACCACAAGAAUGAACCGAGGGCAGAACUCCACCACCCGACAUCAGGAAGGAGGACACGAGGAGGAAGGCCUAGGAGUUUGACAUGGUAAUGCCCCACAGGUCCUAGAUCGGCCUCACCUGUGUCCAACGCUGGCAACAUGCCACCGUGCCCACCCUCGCCCUGCCAUCCUGUGCGCUCUGCACAACAACGCUAGCCGUGCCUAUGGGGGAAGGGCGUCUAGAGCGUCACCCAAUCGGCGUCGCUGCAUGUGCCUACCACUCCUCGUGGAUGUACCUGAUGCAUCAUUUUGUUUUCCAGCCAUUCACAUUCUUCAGUCUUCAUGUUGAUCUUCAGUUUACCUCUGUACACGUCUGGGUCGAUGCUGCUGCUUUGCGUGAGUUAGUGUGAUGUGGUAUUAAUCUUGGUUUAGUCA